rnacentral:sRNA from 1 species
UUCUAGCCCUGAUGGGAGGGAAAAUCCUUUUGUGCCGGGGUUCGGCACAAAAGAUUGGAAGGAACAGCAGGAACAGCU